rnacentral:lncRNA from 1 species
CGGUUUCUUCAGCGCGAGUCGCGGUUUGAUGUUUUACGCCAAUCAACCUGUAGAAGAAAGGACAGUGGUCACAGUAGUGUAAAAAUUACAUCGAAUGGGAAUCGGGAAGGGCAUCAUCGGAGGCAAAAAUCGAAGAAACUCGCAGCGGCGCCGCUGGACUUUGGCAGUGUUUUUCGGCCAAUUGGCCGGUGGUUUGGCUCCGAUUUGGCCACAGGUGGGUUCAGCAUCCAAAACUGAGCCAAGGGGAGAAACUUUAACUCGUUUGGCGGCCAAAAGGUGCUCUGAUGCGGCGCCGGGUGGCGGCGGUCGGUUCCUUCCCGCAUCAGCGUCUCUGCCACGCGGCGUGUCUUGGUUGGCCGGAGCUGCUGACCAGGCUGUUGACAUGGCUGUU